GCUAGCAAUCUGCAGGAGUCGACGACCAAAGAAGAUGAAGAAAUUCUCUCUGACAAUAUGACUAAGACUGCUCCGGUUUCUUUUCUACUGAUUUUAUUCAACUUGCAUAUCAUUUACUUGCAAAUUUUUAUUCACAGAAUUGAGUCGUAUUAUAGAAGAUGUAUGUUCUGAUAUUUUUGACUUUCUAGAGACAGUAUUCGCCGCAGCUCCAGGUAGAGAGUGACUUCUUUGUGCAUUCUUUAGUGUGUUGUGGUUGUAGCUUCACUGUUGCUAUAUCCUUAUGGUUUUACGUUCAUAGCCUGACGACGGUCACAACAAAUUCUAGUACCUGCCCGACCUUAAGCAAAAAUUUCAAACUCAGGAGGUUGGUCUGGGGUGUUUUAGACCCCUUAUGUGGUAUAGACUGAAGCAAUGUUGAUUAGCUGUAGUGAUUGUAUUUUCUUACCAAACUAUAGGCUGAAUGUGUGUAACUGAAUUGUUGGUUUACAGUUUGACUUUGCUAUUCAAUCAAUGGUUUCUCAUCUUGAGUCUGUUGAUAGCCAUACACAGUUGUCAUGGAUCAAGGAACUUAGAGAAUGGUUCUCAGGUUUCAUUUCUGAAAUAGAUGAUCUUGAAUCUAUUGAUGUUUGUCUUCUACUUGAAAGUAUUAAACAGACAACGGAGACAUCAGGUUCACAAGAGCUCAAGUUGGAAGCUGAUGUGAGUCUCAUACAUAUUAUAUCUGACUACUUAUCACGCUACUCAUUGGAACCUAUUUUCGUGAUUAAGCAUGAGGUGGUGCAAGUUCUUUUAGACCUUCUGGAAAUAAAUAGUGUUUGUGAGAAGGGCUAGGAACAACACUUCAUUGAUUGCCUGUCAAGCUUGCUAGAUAGAGAAUUAGAGGAAGAGAUGGUCUGCGCGAUUAUAGCAAAGAUUACUUAUGAGAGCAUUGUGUGGGCAAAGGCUGUAUUUGAGGCUGGUUUAAUAGGUCAUCUGCGCAAAUUGCUUGAAAAGAAAGGAAUAAUGGGUAUUGCCGCUGUUGCAAUUGCAAGGGCUAUUGAUGGUAUUGUAGAUGAUGAACAGGAGUAUGUAACCUCUUUUCCUUGAUAAAUCAUCUCUGAUAUAUUGAUAUUUGAACUCUCUCUCAAUGUUUUCUUGUGCUUUUGGCUUUAGGUCCUUGGUGGAGUGCUGCAUACGUCCUCUGUGUAAUUAUGUUGAUGCCGAUGAUAAUUAUGUGUUGUGGCUAGUCUAACAGGAAUAGAAAAAAUAUUGAAGCUUUGGGAAACAAAAAGGCAAAUUAUUGUGGCAAGAAUGUUUAUGCUCAAAAGAUCAAAACGUUUGGGAAGUUCGAAGAAUUGGAGCAAAAUAAUGCAUUACGAGUUAAGGAAAUGGAGAUGAAAUACUGUCCGUCAAAGCAGGGGUGGAAGCAGAGGGUGCAGGGGCAGAGGGGCGGAGGCAGAAGAUUAAGUAACUUGCAUUAUGUUUCUAGUAACCUUUUCCUUGACAUACUUUCAUCUUCAUAUGACAACAGUUAGCGGAAAAAGGAAAGUGAUAGUUUUUGACAAAUCUCUUUAUUAUUAUAUUCAUAUUUCUACUUUUACUAUCUUAUAAAUGAGAAACAACCACAAGACGCUUACUAA